UAUACGUACACGAGGCAUGCGUUUGCCAACGCAUUUGGCUGACGCGGAGGAGACCGAGCUGUCCAUCAAAGGUGCAGAAAGGGACGAAAAACAGCGAGCCGCAAUGCCGAACGCAGCAAAUCGAUGCAUCCUCCUCGAGGACGUGAGCUUCCUCGAAGAUAUGCCGGUGGGUAACGAUCUCGACAAAUACCGGGCGCUGGCAUCCUUCAAUUGGAAACGCUUGCGAGUUGUUUUCGAGGACCCGGAUAAGCUGCGGCUCAAGAUGCGCCUGUGGAAGGCCAUGGAAGCGGACCCGGAGUACCAUCCUCCGAACGGCGUGGCACUGAGCGCGGACGAGCAAAAACGACGCGCGGCCCGGCAACUCGCACGCCUGCAUCACCAGAAACUAUUGCUCGGCGAUCUCAGCAAACUCAACUACAGAACCAAGACCGAGUUUAUGAUGGUACUGAACGAGGCCACCUGUCUCAUCGAUCCUACCCUCUCCGUGAAAAUAGCCAUCGGCGUCUACCUCUUCAGCAACACCAUUCUAACACUGGGCACCGAGCGACACCUGCCUUUCUUCCACGCGGUCUUCAACAAACAGAUGCUGGGUUGUUACGCCUUGACCGAAGUCGCUCACGGUAGCGACACGAAAAUGAUGCGGACGACCGCGACGUACGACCCGAGUACCCGAACCUUCGUGCUUCACACUCCGGACUUCAAGGCAGCCAAAUGCUGGGUCGGCAAUCUCGGCAAAACAGCGACGAUAGCGAUAGUGUUCGCGCAAUUGGUCACGCAAAACACCCACCACGGCCUUCACGCGUUCGUCGUACCGGUGAGGGAUCCCAAGACGUACCUGUCUUAUCCGGGAGUCAUAGUCGGCGACCUCGGCGAGAAGAAUGGCCUCCACGGCAUCGACAACGGCUACGUCAUAUUCAACAACUACAGGAUACCGAGGGAAAAUUUGCUCAACAGGGCGGCCGAGGUCACACCCGAGGGCGACUACGAGAGCUCGUUCUCCGACCCUCACAGGAUUUUAGGAGCCGUGCUGGAGAAUCUGUCGGCCGGUCGGAUAGGGAUCUGCCAGGAGUCGACCAACAGGCUCGGUGCCGCUGUAAUUAUAGCCGUUAGGUACGCCGCUGUGCGGAAGCAGUUCUCCAACUCGUCUGUAAAUAGUAACGAAGAAACUCCGAUCCUCGAGUACGAACUGCACCAAUGGAGACUGUUUCCUUAUCUAGCUGCGGCCUGCGUGUUCAAACUUUUCAUGACGGAGUUUACGAAUUUGUAUUUAGAAAAUGUACAAAAGUCGAUGGACGGAGAGAACAUACCGAAUCUCAGUCAGAUAGUGUCAGAAAUCCAUAGUAUGGUGUCGGUGCUGAAACCUCUGUUAACGUGGACUUGCCGGGACGCGAUACGAGAGUGCAGGGAAGCUUGCGGAGGUCACGGCUACCACAAAACGGCAGCUCUGGGUGACAUGGCGGCAAACCACGAGCCAUCGGUCUCGUACGAGGGCGAUAACAACGUGCUGAUUCAGCAAACGAGUAAUUGGAUACUGCGCCAGUGGAACGACUUGCAAAGUGGCUCGACUACUACCAUCAGUCCUUUGGCUUCUCUAAAGUUUCUCGUUCAUGGGCCCAAGAUUCUACGAAAGAAAUUCGAUCCGCAUGUCGAGGCACGGCUAACGCUGGAUUUCGUCCGGGACGCCUACGAGUGGCUGAUAACGUGGCUCGUCAGCGAAACGCAGCGAAAGUACGAGGAAGAACUGGCCAAUGGCGCAAACAACUUUACAGCUCGCAGCAAGUCGCAGGUCUACAGAGCGGCUCAUCUUUCUAGGGCAUACGGGGAGAGGAUAGUCACAAGUUAUUGCCUCGUCAGACUGAACAAGACGAUACCAGAGGCGCCAGAAGCGGCGAGUUUGAAAAUUGUUUUGAACAAACUCGUGCUCUUGUAUUCACUGUGUUGCCUAGAGAAGCAUUUAACCAUAUUUUAUCAAGGUGGCUACUGUACCGGACCUCGGAUGGCCGCUUUGGUCAAAGAAAAUAUACUAAAUUUAUGCGCUGAAAUAAAACCAGAGGCCAUCGCAAUAGCCGAUGCCUUGGCUCCUCCGGAUUUUGUUUUGAACUCUGUUUUGGGGAUGUCGGAUGGAAAGGUCUAUGAGCGUCUCGAGGAGGCCUUCCGAUGCUAUCCAGGUGGAUCGGAAAGAGCGAACUGGUGGUCCGAGCUGUUGGAAGUGGCGGACAAGCCGUUGAUCGUUCCAAAGUCAAAGCUUUGACGAAUGUAACACGCUUGUUGUCGUUAUGGCAUGGCCACUACUUUUUUGUCCAACCAAUGAGUGAAAAGCACAAAAAACGCUGAUGUCGCAUCAAUUUUUAACAAUGCGCCAAAAUGGGAGAGGACCGAGCCGCUAGCCGCCGACGUCCACCGCUACGCUUCGCCCGCAGCGAUUUUGCACCGCUCGCAAGUGUUAUGCGAGAACUAGCUUUAUA
rnacentral:misc_RNA from 1 species